UAAUUUUAAAGAGACAAGAUAAUAGAAAGAAAUAGACCACUUAAAAAUGAGUGCACUCUUUCCCUACCCCCUACUUCUUCUGACACAAUCACCUUAAUGAGGUGAGGCUGCUGGCAAGUGGUAGCCCCACAGGCACCUGAGGGCUGAGGAGUUCUGAGGCAGAACAACUGCAGAAGGCUUGUUCCACGGAGGACGGUGCUCUCUGCCCACUGUGCUAUCACGACGUAUCGUGUGAAGCUUAGCUGUGAAUUCCUGCCUUGUGGCGGAGGGUACGCAAAAUCAACACUGCGCAUGCGCUUCAGGACCGGCUCCAGCCACCCAAGUCCCAGGCGUGUUGGAUGUCCUCGAGGAAGCUGCUUUGAAAUUCUAGUUUUUAAAGCAAGCUUUUCAGAGCAGCAUGAUGCAUGUGAGUAUGUGGACCUU